GGGGAAGAGGCUCAGUAGCAGAGCACUUGCUCAGAAUGCAUGAGGCCUUGGGUUCAAUUCCCAGCCCUG
rnacentral:tRNA from 1 species